GAUGAAUUUGGGGGGAGGAAGUAGAUUAAUUUGAGGAGAUUUGAGAAUAAAUUGAUUGUUGCUUUUUUGAAUGGAUUUGGAGAUAAGUAAGAGUGAAUUUGAAAGUAUAAUUUGUGAAAAUUAGUCUAGAAUUUGACGGAUGUGACAAAUAAAAAAUGGUUUAAUUGGUAGAAAUUAAAGAUUACCAAAAUAUCCUUAAUAGUAACAAUAAUAUAAAAUGAUAAUUGUUAAUAAUAUAUAGGCUUAAU
rnacentral:lncRNA from 1 species